AUGCACAAGUAUCAGUCUGCCUGUUCAGGCCUUCUCUAAAGUGCAGGAAGUCACUAGAUCUUUCUAAUGUCCUGGCACAGAAGUGAAGUGGAUUUAACAUUCUCAGGGCAACCCUCAACCACAGAUGCACAGGAGCUGUAAUUUCAGAUGCUGGUGUCAUCUCUGGAUCCUCUGGGGUUAAAAAUCCAUGGACACAAUCUCUAAAUCCUAUUCCAGUUCCAGCCUCCUAUGGUCUUAG
rnacentral:lncRNA from 1 species